GAAACGAACGCUGGCGGCGAUGGAUUAGGCAUGCAAGUCGAACGGGAGCAGCAAUGCUCCAGUGGCGGCAAGGGUGAGGAACACGUGAACAACCUGCCUUCGAGUUGGGGAUAGCUUCUGGAAACGGGAGAUAAUACCGAAUAACAUCAACGGAUCGCAUGAUCUAUUGAUCAAAGCAGCAAUGCGCUUGAAGAGGGGUUCGCGUCCCAUUAGCUAGUUGGUGAGGUAACGGCCCACCAAGGCGAUGAUGGGUAGCUGGUCUGAGAGGACGAUCAGCCACAUUGGGACUGAGAUACUGCCCAGACUCCUACGGGAGGCUGCAGUCGAGAAUUUUGGGCAAUGGACGAAAGUCUGAACCCCCAGCAAUGCCGCGUGCGGGAUGAAGGUCUUCGGAUUGUAAACCGCUGUCAAGAGGGACGAAAUUUGGCGGUACCUCUGGAGGAAGCCACGGCUAACUACGUGCCAGCAGCGGC
rnacentral:rRNA from 1 species